AGUUCAUCGUGCGUCAUCUGCUCUAGUGAUGGUGGAAAAAAAAAAAAAUGAGAGGAAGCGUCGUGGAACUUCGUUAACGUCUCAUCACCCAGGGAGAUGUUUUUCAACGAUCAUCUAAUCUAAUCAGAUAGAUAUAACAGGACGUCCAUUUUGUAUUCCGGCAGCCGAACGGAGAAAAAAAAAGAAACAAACAGGAAAUGGAAAGAAAUAAAAAUCAGCGUCAUAUACGUACACCGCAAUAUAAAGUUUGGCCUACAUUUUCACCUUACGUGGCUGCGUAUGGCGUCAUCAUUCGGCAUAUGUUUCCUUUCUCCACACACUAAGGAAGAAGGCCCAGAAAGUAGGCCGUGAGAAAGUCGAGCCAUGGCGGCUCUGACCUGUGAAAUGCAACAAACGGAAAAAAUUGCAAUAAAAAAUAAA